rnacentral:rRNA from 1 species
GACGAACGCUGGCGGCGUGCUUAACACAUGCAAGUCGAACGAUGAACCCGGAGCUUGCUCUGGGGGAUUAGUGGCGAACGGGUGAGUAACACGUGAGUAACCUGCCCUGGACUCUGGGAUAAGCGUUGGAAACGACGUCUAAUACCGGAUAGGACCUUGGAUCGCAUGAUCUGGGGUGGAAAGUUUUUUCGGUCUGGGAUGGACUCGCGGCCUAUCAGCUUGUUGGUGAGGUAAUGGCUCACCAAGGCGUCGACGGGUAGCCGGCCUGAGAGGGUGACCGGCCAGACUGGGACGGAGACACGGACCAGACUCCUACGGGAGGCAGCAGUGGGGAAUAUUGCACAAUGGGCGAAAGCCUGAUGCAGCAACGCCGCGUGCGGGAGGACGGCCGUCGGGUUGUAAACCGCUUUUAGUAGGGAAGAAGGGCUUCGGCUUGACGGUACCUGCAGAAAAAGGACCGGCUAACUACGUG